GAUGAAGAACGCAGCGAAAUGCGAUAAGUAAUGUGAAUUGCAGAAUUCAGUGAAUCAUCGAAUCUUUGAACGCACAUUGCGCCCAUUGGUAUUCCGAGGGGCAUGCCUGUUCGAGCGUCAUAUUAACCACUCCCGCUUGCGGGGUCUUGGGCUUCGCCUCCGGGCGGGCCUUAAAAUCAGUGGCGGUGCCGUCGGGCUCUACGCGUAGUAAAUUUUCUCGCGAUAGGGUCCCGGUGGAUGCUUGCCAACAUCCCCCAACUUCUUAAGGUUGACCUCGGAUCAGGUAGGGAUACCCGCUGAACUUAAGCAUAUCAAUAAGCGGAGGA
rnacentral:misc_RNA from 1 species